GCGUUGUCCGGAAUUAUUGGGCGUAAAGCGCGCGCAGGCGGUUCCUUAAGUCUGAUGUGAAAGCCCACGGCUCAACCGUGGAGGGGCAUUGGAAACUGGGGGACUUGAGUGCAGAAGAGGAGAGCGGAAUUCCACGUGUAGCGGUGAAAUGCGUAGAGAUGUGGAGGAACACCAGUGGCGAAGGCGGCUCUCUGGUCUGUAACUGACGCUGAGGCGCGAAAGCGUG
rnacentral:rRNA from 1 species